rnacentral:rRNA from 1 species
GCAAGUCGAGCGGACGGAUGGGAGCUUGCUCCCUGAAGUCAGCGGCGGACGGGUGAGUAACACGUGGGCAACCUGCCUGUAAGACUGGGAUAACUCCGGGAAACCGGGGCUAAUACCGGAUAAUUCUUCCCUUCACAUGAGGGGGAGCUGAAAGAUGGUUUCGGCUAUCACUUACAGAUGGGCCCGCGGCGCAUUAGCUAGUUGGUGAGGUAACGGCUCACCAAGGCGACGAUGCGUAGCCGACCUGAGAGGGUGAUCGGCCACACUGGGACUGAGACACGGCCCAGACUCCUACGGGAGGCAGCAGUAGGGAAUCUUCCGCAAUGGACGAGAGUCUGACGGAGCAACGCCGCGUGAGUGAUGAAGGUUUUCGGAUCGUANAACUCUGUUGUCAGGGAAGAACAAGUGCCGGAGUAACUGCCGGCACCUUGACGGUACCUGGCCAGAAAGCCACGGCUAACUACGUGCCAGCAGCC